rnacentral:rRNA from 1 species
AUUGAACGCUGGCGGCAGGCCUAACACAUGCAAGUCGAGCGCGAAAGGCUUUCGGGCUGAGUAGAGCGGCGGACGGGUGAGUAACGCGUAGGAAUCUACCUGGUAGUGGGGGACAACUUGGGGAAACUCAAGCUAAUACCGCAUACGCCCUAUGGGGGAAAGUGGGGGACCUUCGGGCCUCACGCUAUCGGAUGAGCCUGCGUUAGAUUAGCUAGUUGGUAGGGUAAAGGCCUACCAAGGCGACGAUCUAUAGCUGGUCUGAGAGGACGAUCAGCCACACUGGGACUGAGACACGGCCCAGACUCCUACGGGAGGCAG